AUCCAGAGAACUUAGCAGAGAUGCUUUGGUGCCUUCGGGAACUCUGAGACAGGUGCUGCAUGGCUGUCGUCAGCUCGUGUUGUGAAAUGUUGGGUUAAGUCCCGNAACGAGCGCAACCCUUAUCCUUUGUUGCCAGCGGUUCGGCCGGGAACUCAAAGGAGACUGCCGGUGAUAAACCGGAGGAAGGUGGGGAUGACGUCAAGUCAUCAUGGCCCUUACGGCCAGGGCUACACACGUGCUACAAUGGCGCAUACAAAGAGAAGCGACCUCGCGAGAGCAAGCGGACCUCAUAAAGUGCGUCGUAGUCCGGAUUGGAGUCUGCAACUCGACUCCAUGAAGUCGGAAUCGCUAGUAAUCGUAGAUCAGAAUGCUACGGUCGAAUACGUUCCCGGGCCUUGUACACACCGCCCGUCACACCAUGGGAGUGGGUUGCAAAAGAAGUAGGUAGCUUAACCUUCGGGAGGGCGCUUACCACUUUGUGAUUCAUGACUGGGGUGAAGUCGUAACAAGGUAGGCGUAGCGAG
rnacentral:rRNA from 1 species